AAGUUGUCAAAUUUGUCAAUGAUCUUCAAGGCACGGGGUGUGAUAGCCGUGGAAAGUUUUAAUUAAAUGAUUUAGAUUGAGAUAUAUAUUUAAAGGAUUGUUGUCAUAACAAGUUGUAGUGAUAAAACGUUAAUGUGAGAGUCAGAGGAAUAAUUUGCGAGUAAAUCAGCGAAUACUAUAACGAGCGACCAUGUGUCCAAUAUGGCCGCUGCACCUCAUCGUGCUGUACAUCCUGGCUAUGUGCCCGCUCUGGGUGCUCUGCCAGGCGGCACCGCAGCUUACUGCCUAUUUCAUACCAGACCAAGUGUCUGUACACAUGGAUGAUUACUUUAACGUCAACGUUGCUAUCAAUGGUACAGGAAUGCAAGCCAACGAUGAAUUAAUACUAACGUCGAGCGACGACAAGCUAGCUAUAGCCAGUUGGGAGGGCAGUGACGGUCCCUCGUACGUUCUCAGUGAGGAUCAUGCCAGUACAGGGCAGUUCGAAGGGGUGAUGCGUGUCGACGGAGUGUUUUUAGGAUUCAGCGAAAUAAAAGUGGCCACGAAACGCGGCACCACUGAGUACCCCGUCGACAACUCGCUGUCGGUCACAGUACUGCGACCAGAGCGGGUCAUAGACCGUAUAUUCGUCACCAGCGUGGCUCUGUUUGUGUCCCUGAUCUUCAUCAACUUCGGUUGCGCGAUGCACUGGCCCACAGUGAAGGAGGUCGUCAAAAGGCCCGUGGGGCCCGCCAUCGGAAUGUUGGGACAGUUUCUGUUCAUGCCAUUGAUGUCAUUCGGUCUCGGUUUCCUCGUAUUCCCCGGCUCCGACGACGUGUCGGCCGCCAUGCGUCUCGGUAUGUUCUUCACGGGCGUAUCUCCCGGCGGAGGCGCGUCUAACAUCUGGACCUUCGUGCUGGGAGGAAACCUUAACCUGUCGCUCGCUAUGACUUCUAUCUCUACACUGGCUUGCUUUGGGUUUAUGCCAGCCUGGCUCUUCUCUCUGGGCCAAGUCGUGUUCCGCAACGCCAACAUCGUGGUCCCGUACGCGCGCAUCGCCUCCUUCGUCGUGGGCCUCAUAGUGCCCAUGGCCAUCGGCCUGGGCAUGCAGCGGUGGACCCCGAAAUUAUCGGCUUUCAUGGUCCGGAUAUUGAAGCCGUUGUCGACUUCACUGCUGCUGUUCAUUAUUAUAUUUGCUAUUGUGACGAAUCUGUAUAUAUUCUCGCUGUUUACUUGGCAGAUCAUCGCGGCGGGCGUGGGGCUGCCGUGGCUGGGCUACGGCUUCGGCUACGCGCUGGCGCGCGGCCUGCGCCAGCAGCACCCCGACGCGCUCGCCAUCUCCAUCGAGACGGGCGUGCAGAACACCGGCAUCGCCAUCUUCCUGCUGCGGUACGCGCUGCCGCAGCCGCAGGCCGAUCUCACUACAGUGGUCCCAGUGUCAGUGGCCAUUAUGACCCCGAUACCUAUGACCUGCAUCUACAUCUACCAAAAACUGAAGGCUUGUAAAAUGCCGGGAUUUUUUUACAAAAUCGUUCACAAAACAUUUUCUUUUAUUUCCAUAUAAACAUAUCAUCGCCACCAUUACACCAUACGAAAUUGCGAAUUUAGUAUGGGAGCUAUGUCAACCGAAACCAACACAAAUAAAUCGUUGAACACGACGCAACCCCCAGCAGUGAGGCGCCUCAGCCAGUCAAUGGUAUCUCAACCAUUGAUGUCGAAAAAUAAGGACGUGCCCGUCUAAAACCAGGUCUCGCACUUUACCACAUUUGUAAAACGAUAAACUGAACGGUUGAUACGAAUUUUAUACAUACAAAAUAAAUGGUAAUCGAAAGCCUAAUUUCCCAUCUAAGUAAAAAUAAAAGAUGAUCAAGGCCUAAUGUUGUGUAACCGCUCCUUUUGAAUAAUACUCGUACCGAGAAAAUAUGAUAAAAAUAUGAUACUGAAAAUGCCCAAGUGAUGUCUGAAUUGUUUAUGCAUUUAAAGAUACACUGCCAAUAUGAUAAUCGGAUUUAAAUAUUAUAUCCUGUAUGAAGGGAUACAGUUACAAAACUUACCAAGAAGUAGCGAAGUAGAUUUUACUGAUAAGUGAAUAUACAUAUCAGCACAUAUGUAUUUUUUAAAAAGUGAAGAGGAUAUAAAGCGAAUAAUCACGUAAUUGGAUCAAUUCAUUCAUUCAAAGUUCGCAUCAUUCGUUCAGUGUAUCGUUACGCUGGCAGAUCUCGGCGUGGUAAAGUGUUGCCAGUCAAAAUUCAAUGUUGCCAGCCUGAAAAAGUGACAAGUAUUUUUGAGAUCUGGUUUUGAAGUAUAAUAAUUAAAUGUAAACUAAUAUUUUUCGAGGAUUACAUUUUAAAUUUUUUGGCGCAUAUUUUUGGUGCUCAAUUUUUUAAUGAAAAAAUGUUUUAAGUUUUUUAUACGGGUUUUUUAACGCCGUGGUAACUUUUUUCUUAGCACAAGGCCUUCAUAUGUUUUGGCCGUGCUAGUUAUUUAUUUUAAAUGACAUUCCGACUUGUCAUUAUUUUGGAUAAAAGUCACCUAUAAAAUUGUAUGUCACUUAAAUUUCUUUGAAGCACUAAUGAUCUGGACGAGGUUUUAACACUUUAGUAAGACACUUUGUUUACAUUAUUCGUUUUGCUUGUUACCACGUUGUAUUUGCCUAUAGUUUUCUAUUGACAAAAGUUUGUUGUUCAUGAUUGAACUUUAUGUAUAAGAGUAGAAAGUCGAAUUUCGUAUAUCCACCUUAAUAAAUGUUCCUUAAUUUUUGAGAUCCAAAGUGUGAUGUUACUUUAAUAGCAAUAGUAUUGCAACGUGGUAUCUUUUGCUUUUUUAACUUCUAGAAUGUCUUGUCAGUUAUGGUCGCCGACACGAAUUAUGAGCGAACGAGGGAAUAAACACAGUUUGGCAAACACGAAAAUCUAGAAAACGACUUCCUCAUAAUGUCCUUAUAUUUAAUUAGUUUAAUUACCAAACAAAAAUAAUGUUAAGAAUUAAGUAAACAUAAUGAUUUUGCAUGGUUUGUGUUGACAACUAGGGACAAAAGAAUAAUUAUGACAAAUUGACAAUGAGUUGCGUGCAUAGGCUACGGUGCCCACUUGCCACUAGUGGGGCCGUUCGCUCGUUUGUCACCAUACAUUGCCUGUUUUUGGUUGGUGCCGGCGGCCUGUGUCGGAUUUCACAUGACUCGUUUUAUAGGUGAAACAGAUGUGGAAGACUGCUAGAAUGGCAUGAACAGUAUUUGUUAAGUUAUGAACAAUCUAAUUAUGUUAAGAAUGGAAUAAAAGUUUUUUUAUGUA